UGAUUUCAUACGACGUUCAUAUCGGAAAUGUUCCUAAUUUUAGUAUAAUAUGUAUAUCCUACAUACAGUUACUCAAACAAGUGUUCACAUGGUUUUACAACAUUAUCAUUGUUCUCUAUUUGAGCAGCAAAACACGUGAGUGCAAGAAAAUAGAUUUUCUCUUGAUGGCGUUUUGUGGGUAUGACAGUGGUCUAAUUAUGUUCAUCUACGAACUGGUCACCUUUUUCCGGACGGACAGACAGUCAGUCGAUUUUCAACUCGUCUCGUCAUCCUGCACAUUUAUGUAUGUAUAUACAACCCUAUAUAUCGGGUCAUCCAAUAAUAUUUACAAUCUCAUCAUAGAAAGAUAUACAGGUCGUACCUGGAGAGCUUUUCUCAGAGUUGUCUAUCCACCAAUUUUUCAGAGAACGAAGCGAAAAACACCAUCGUUUUUUUACCCACCCUAGAGUAUAUAUGUAUGUAUGUGUUCAUUUAUUUAUUUAAAAAACAUGUACGUGCCAAACAAAUUAUUUUUUAUUUCUCGUCUACAUAGGUGAGUAGGUCUGUAUAUGAACGUAAAAACACAGCACAAAGAUAUUUAUAUGUAUCACACAUACGUUUUUAGUAUUUGUACAACUGUAAUGUUAUGUACAUACAUACAUAUAUUAAUAUACUUGUAUAAGCAUAAUAUAAUGAAGUUAUUAUGUAUAGAUGAUUUAAAUGCAAAAACAUACUACUUACAAGCUCUGAAACGAGUGGAAUGGAUUUCCGACGAGGACGUAUAUCUGGCAUGCUGUCAAUGUUACUGUAGAAUGGAUUGUCUCCCGGGUGCCCGCUACCCCGUAUGCCAAUAUCACCAGGUCCACUGCCAUUCUUUAUUGUAUGGAAAAUAAAUGAAGUUUACUUAGUAGUGUAUCAAUAUAUUUUGAAAACUAUUGUUAUAAUUUUUUUAUAUAAACAUGUAGUUUAUAGAGUAA